UGGGGAAUUGUUCGCAAUGGGCGAAAGCCUGACGACGCAACGCCGCGUGGAGGACGAAGAUCUUCGGGUCGUAAACUCCUGUCGAGUGGGAAGAACACCUCCGGGGUGAAUAAUCCGGGAGGCUGACGGUACCACUAAAGGAAGCCCCGGCUAACUCCGUGCCAGCAGCCGCGGUAAUACGGGGGGGGCAAGCGUUGUUCGGAAUUACUGGGCGUAAAGGGCUCGUAGGCGGCCAACUAAGUCAGACGUGAAAUCCCCAGGCUCAACCUGGGAACUGCGUCUGAUACUGGAUGGCUUGAAUUCGGGAGAGGGAUGCAGAAUUCCAGGUGUAGCGGUGAAAUGCGUAGAUAUCUGGAGGAAUACCGGUGGCGAAGGCGGCAUCCUGGACCGACAUUGACGAUGAUGAGCGAAAGCUAGGGGAGCAAACGG
rnacentral:rRNA from 1 species